ACAAAAGGCUUGACAUUCUUCCAGACUGGUGAGCUUUUGUUAGCACCGCUUAAACCCUUCUGGUACCACUCUAGGAUAAACUCCUCUUCCAGCACAUCAUAGUCAUACAGUACUUUAACAGCCAAUGGUACCUCUUUAACUGCCUCAGGGCUUGCGUUACCACAGAAAAACUCAAGGGCAUGCAACAGAAGCAUCUGUGAUCCCUCCUCUU
rnacentral:misc_RNA from 1 species